CCUACGGGAGGCAGCAGUGAGGAAUAUUGGUCAAUGGCCGGAAGGCUGAACCAGCCAAGCCGCGUGAAUGACGAAGUUGCCCAGCAUUGUAAACUUCUUUUGUCAAGGGACAAAAUCAGGCUCGAGAGCCUGACCGAGGCUACUUGAAGAACAAGCAUCGGCUAACUCCGUCCCAGCAGCCGCGUUAAUACGGGGGAUGCGAGCGUUAUCCGGAUUUAUUGGGUUUAAAGGGUGUGUAGGCGGGCUGUUAAGUCAGCGGUAACAGCCCGGGGCUCAACCCCGGCGAGCCGUUGAAACUGGCUGUCUUGAGAUGUAGAGAGGUAGGCGGAAUGCGCGGUGUAGCGGUGAAAUGCGUAGAUAUUGCGCAGAACUCCGAUUGCGAAGGCAGCAUACCGGCGGCGAUCUGACGCUGAGGCACGAAAGCGGGGGUAUCGAACAGGAUUAGAUACCCUAGUAGUC
rnacentral:rRNA from 1 species